ensembl:lncRNA
UGGAUGGCCUGGGGACACUGGCUAGAGCCAGAUGGACACAGCCAAGACCCCCCCAAAAGGAUGAAAUUUCCACAGGGCAGGAAGGAGAAGUGAGCCAGCCCUCUCCAGGCUGGUCCCAAUGCAUGAACUUAAGACACAAGGAAGGAAAGAAGGAAGGAAGGAAAGAAGGAAGGAAGGAAGGGAAUAUAUAUAAAGGUCAUCAGACCACGCAGGAAGGUGACACCCAGGCACUCGCUGUGGAAAUAGAAGGGAACUAAGUCUGCACUCAAACUUGAAAGGCAGUGACAAGCUCCCGCAGGGCGGAAUGUCAGCUGAGUGGCAGGGAGCCUGCUCACCAAGGGGCUGGAUCACUGCUUUGGAGACCCAUCCCUCUACUGGAAUUUAUGAAAAACCACCCAUCACACACAGGGUGGGGAUGCUGGCUCUUUAAAUGAUGC